CCUUCAACACACCUUAAGUAAUGCUUUCACUUUCUUUCCUGGGUGUGUUAAGGUUAAAUUAUCCCCCUGGGUCUUUGUAUGUGGAUGACAAUGAUACUUUCACCGUAUAGAAGAGAUAGAGAGAGAAUUAGAAACACCGAAUAUCUUCUCAUGGCUUCCAGUUGUGUUGAUUUACCAUCCAUGUCUUGUAUAUGAAUGAAGACUUGAUAUAACUCUCUUACAAGCAAACAUAGAGACCCAACAUCUGUUACAUAUACAAACAUAAAGAUGUUUUAGAUACAUAAACAUGCAGACAAAGACAUUUCAAACAAACAGACAUACAGACGGUUCAGACACAACACAUCCAAACAUACAGGUACAGCGCCCGUCAAAUAUGCACACACAUACAAACACCCAAGACACACACACGCACAAACUAUCUCGUCCCCGCAGGAUCCAAGACCAACCACUACUCAGAUAGCAGGCGAGAGAGCCACCACCACUACCGCCUGUACCACAAAAUGACAAAAGUUACAUGAGCCUCGCCUGUCACUCCUGCCCCAAGAACUUAACCUCAACUCCAUCAUAAGAAGGAAGAAGCAAUGUCAGCCACAGUGAUCCAUCAAAAACUGGAGCUUCAGCCUGCAGCAGAUAUUCCUCGGUUACCUUACACAGAGGAAAUACUGUACAAGGUUAUCGAAAAAGAAUGUCCAAAAAUUAAUAUAAAAACAUUUAAAAUUUGGUGGUCUUUUUCGAUGGUCUUUAUAUAUCAUAAUUUUCUCAAUACUCAGUGAUUACGAGCUGUGUUCCAGACCAGUGUAUAAUAUUCAUCUUUCAGUUAAAAUAAAAUUCUCUAACAUUUA